CUCGAGGUGCAUCAAUUUAUCGAGGGGUCACAAGGUAAAAAGAAAUGAAAUUUUUUAUCUUAAAACUUCGUAUUGAAUGGUGUUUAAUGACAUGCACGAUUGUACUAUGACUUCAAAUUUAUUAAGGACGAGACUUAAUUUAUUGUAAGUCUGACAUAGAAUCUACGAUCAACAGACACCACCAGCAUGGGAGAUGGCAAGCAAGAAUUGGAAGAGUUGCUGGGAACAAGGAUCUUUACUUGGGAACUUUCAGUAAGCAUUUUGUCUCGAUUUUUGACAAUUUAAGUUAAGCCUCCAUUCGGGAAGAAUUUAUAAAUGCUUUAACUUGUAAAAAUAAAUGAGUGUUGAAUAAGUAGAUAGAAUCUCAAGUGCAUAAAAUUGAAGUUUGAUCAAUUAAUAAAUGACUUACAAAGUUGCCUAACGGAGGCUAAGUAAAUAAUUGUAUUAUCUCUCCAACUACGUGAACUUUUAGUUAAGGUAGUUCAAUUUGAUAUCAUAAUUUGGCUGAAGCCUCUAAAAUCUGCAGGCACACAGGAGGAAGCGGCCGAGGCCUAUGACAUUGCAGCGAUUAAAUUUCGAGGAUUAAAUGCCGUAACUAAUUUUGAAAUAAACAGAUAUGAUGUCAAAAGUAUACUAGAGAGCAGCACAUUGCCAAUUGGAGGUGUUGCUAAGCGCCUCAAGGAUGCCGAAAUGGCUCUGGAUAAACAAAGGAGUUUUGACGAAAACCCAAGUUCACAUUUUACCGAUGGACUUAAUAGCUAUAGCGCAAAUCACGGCUGGCCAGCCAUUGCUUUCCAGCAAGCUCAGCCACUGAGUAUGCACACAUCUUAUCCCUAUAGCCACCUAAGACGAGAUACUGAUGUCAAUCAAAGUUUUCGUGAUCUUCAUCAACUUCAACUAGGAAAUGCACAAAAUUUCUUGCAACAUUCAGGGUUGCACAAUCUCAUGAGCCUGGACUCUUCUUCCAUUGAACACAGUUCGGGAUCGAAUUCAAUCAUUUACAGCAACAAUGGAGCAGGGGACGGGAAUGGAACCGAGGGUAACUUUUUCGUGCCAAUGGGAACUGUGUUAGCUCAAGACGAAGUGAAGCCACUUGAUUAUGAAAACAUGUUUGGAACGGGGUCGGGGGAUCCUUAUCUUCAGGAAAGAAAUUUCUAUUAUCAAUCUCAACAACCUUCAUCGAAUGGCAUAGUGAAAACUGCUAGUGUUUGUGAUCAGGCCUCCACUUGUAACAAUUGGAUUCCUACUGGUGUACCAACUCUUGCUGCUAGGCCUAACAAUACGGCUGGUUGUCAUGGAGCUUCAACUUUUACGGUGUGGAAUCAAACAUAAGAUUUGAUCGAUGGAUCGACUGGAAAGUUAAGGAUGUAUACAUGACUAACAUCUAACUUUUUAUUUUUCCAAAUUUUCUUCUGAAAACAUAGGAUUUUAAGGUUGUCUGUCCUUCGUUUAUUUAUAUAUUUUAGUUUUUCUGCUCGAUGCCAGCAAACUUUAUUGGGAUAUUUGACUGGAGUUCAUCAAUAGCCAGUGAAAAUUACUCAAGUGGCUAUGAAUUUUGGGAACUUACUUCAUUGUCCUCGGAUUGUAGACAUCCAAACUUUGUAAUUUUGGAUGAUAUUAGAUAAUACAAAAAAUGG
rnacentral:lncRNA from 1 species